rnacentral:rRNA from 1 species
AUGGUGGCCCGGGCGACCCAGCAGGCCAGCACCACCAUGCCGCCCCUGGCCGCCGCCGACGCCUUCCGCGUGCUCGAGUUCGUCGCUGGCAACCGCCGCGUCCCCCACUCCCUCCUCGCCGGCCUGCUCGCCGCCCUCCCGCCCGUCUCCCCGCACACCUCCCCGCGCCUGCGCAAGGCCAUCGCGCUCCGCGCCCUCGACGCCGCCCUGUCGGGCUCUGACGCCGACGGCUCCGGCGAGGUCCUCCGCAAGGCCCGCGACGUCCUCGCCGACCCUGGCGUCGCGGCCUGCUUCCCCGACCACCUCGCCGUCGUCCGCGACGACGUGGCCGCCCUCAGGCGCCUCGUGGACGCCGAGUGGGAGAGCCUCCCUCCCUCCGAGCUCGAGCUCGAGGCCGACCGGAUCGCCGGCGCCGGAGCCCUCGACACGUGGGCGAACGCCGACCAGGACACGCGCAAGAAGCUUCGCCGGCUCGUAGGGGAGUCGACGGCGCGUGAGAUUUUAGGCAAGCUUGGGCAAGAUCCAUCCAAGGCUCCUCAAGUUGAUGAGGCGGCCAAUGCGCCCAGCACAAGUGGUGUGAACGAGGGUGAUCGUGCUCAGCAAGAUGAUGAAGCUCAUCUUGGUAUGGGAAAAGGAGAAGCUAGCCUUGCCCAAGAGGAUUGCGCUCGACAUCAACAAGAGCCAGUAGAAAGAACAACCGAUGCUCGAAUUCCUGAAAAGCUGGUAACAAGCGCAGCAACCAAGGGCAAGGAGCAAGCUACGUCUUCUCAUGUCACCGGACAGGCUGCCCCUGACCAUAACAAGAGCCAUCCAGUAACAGGUCCUAAGCCUAGUCUUAUGGAGAGGAAACCUAGUGCAAUCGUUUAUCAGUGGGAUUCUGGCGACUCCGACUCUGAAAGGCCGCCACAUCAGCGCCGGUUACCGAAUUACGAAAGGAGGAUGAGGCCUCCGCCCGCAGUUCCAUACAAAACAAGAAAGAAAUGGACCGAGAUACAAGAGAGAACCCUGAUCGAAGGGGUUGACAAGUACGGUAAAGGCAACUGGAAGGACAUCAAGAUCGCCUACCCGGACGUGUUUCAAGACAGAUCGACGGUGGAUAUGAAGGACAAGUUCAGGAACAUGGGGAGGCACUAA